ACUGCUCAGUAACACGUCGAUAAUCUGCCCUAAGGUUGAGGAUACCCACGGAAAACUGUGGCUAAUACUUGAUAUUGAAUGGAUUCUGGAACGAACCAUUCAUUAAACGUAAGGCCUUAGGAUGAGUCGGCGGCAGAUUAGGCAGUUGGCGGUGUAACGGACCACCAAACCAAAGAUCUGUAGGGGCCCUGAGAGGGGUAGCCCCGAGAGGGACACUGAAAUACUGGUCCCAGCUCCACGGAGUGCAGCAGGCGCGAAACCUCCACAAUGCGCGAAAGCGUGAUGGGGGGAUUCCGAGUGCUUACAUUUUUUGUAAGCUUUUGCCAAGAGUUCACAUCUUGGAGAAUAAGUGGUGGGAAAGACCGGUGCCAGCAGCCGCGGUAACCCCGGCGCCACGAGUGGCAAUCUUAUAUUGGGCCUAAAGCAUUCGUAGCAGGUUUAAAAAAUCCUUUGUGAAAUUGUUGAACUCAAUACAACAGCGUGCAGGGGACACUUUUAGACUAGAGACUGGGAGGAGUUGGGGGUAUGCCUUGGGGAGCGGUUAAAUGUGAUAAUCCAAGGUAGACCACCUGUGGCGAAGGCGCCCAACUAGAACAGUUCUGACUGUGAGGGAUGAAAGCUAGGGGAGCGAUCCGGAUUAGAUACCCGAGUAGUCCUAGCUGUAAACACUGUGAGCUAGGUGUCGCAUAUUCUACGAGAAUAUGCGGUGUCGAAAAGAAGUUGAUAAGCUCACCGCCUGGGAAGUACGGUCGCAAGACUGAAACUUAAAGGAAUUGGCGGGGGAGCAC
rnacentral:rRNA from 1 species